GACGAACGCUGGCGGCGUGCUUAACACAUGCAAGUCGAACGGAAAGGCCCUGCUUUUGUGGGGUGCUCGAGUGGCGAACGGGUGAGUAACACGUGAGUAACCUGCCCUUGACUUUGGGAUAACUUCAGGAAACUGGGGCUAAUACCGGAUAGGAGCUCCUGCUGCAUGGUGGGGGUUGGAAAGUUUCGGCGGUUGGGGAUGGACUCGCGGCUUAUCAGCUUGUUGGUGGGGUAGUGGCGUACCAAGGCUUUGACGGGUAGCCGGCCUGAGAGGGUGACAGGCCACAUUGGGACUGAGAUACGGCCCAGACUCCUACGGGAGGCAGCAGUGGGGAAUAUUGCACAAUGGGCGGAAGCCUGAUGCAGCAACGCCGCGUGCGGGAUGACGGCCUUCGGGUUGUAAACCGCUUUCGCCUGUGACGAAGCGUGAGUGACGGUAAUGGGUAAAGAAGCACCGGCUAACUACGUG
rnacentral:rRNA from 1 species